rnacentral:rRNA from 1 species
GACGAACGCUGGCGGCGUGCCUAAUACAUGCAAGUGGGACGCAAGGGAACACACUGUGCUUGCACACCGUGUUUUCUUGAGUCGCGAACGGGUGAGUAACGCGUAGGUAACCUGCCUAUUAGCGGGGGAUAACUAUUGGAAACGAUAGCUAAUACCGCAUAAUAUUAAUUAUUGCAUGAUAAUUGAUUGAAAGAUGCAAGCGCAUCACUAGUAGAUGGACCUGCGUUGUAUUAGCUAGUUGGUAAGGUAAGAGCUUACCAAGGCGACGAUACAUAGCCGACCUGAGAGGGCGAUCGGCCACACUGGGACUGAGACACGGCCCAGACUCCUACGGGAGGCAGCAGUAGGGAAUCUUCGGCAAUGGACGAAAGUCUGACCGAGCAACGCCGCGUGAGUGAAGAAGGUUUUCGGAUCGUAAAGCUCUGUUGUAAGUCAAGAACGUGUGUGAGAGGGAAAGUUCACAC